CUCCCCCAGAUCCACACACUGUCUGCCCCAACAACCCCAGAGCCUUCAUCCUGUGUCUAAUUAAAUUCCUAGAGGACUUUUAGAGUGAAGACCCUGCCUAUUCGCUCAGAGAGACUUUUUUUCCCUUUAAUUUGGCCAAUACAUUUAGAAAAUGGGCUUUUUACAAGUGGCUGUCCGAUUAUAUUUUUGUAAGUAUUUUUUAGACCCCAUCACGUAAAGGAUACACACCUACUGUGUAAAGCUAUGGCAGCAGCCUAGGAAGGUCAAAUCAAACUUUGACCUGCCUCUUGGAGGGCUAGGGGGAAGGGUGUAUUUUCAUUAUAAUAACCCAUGCAACCAGCCCUGUAUUGCCAAGCGCAGGAAAAGGGUCUGCUUCAGGGGCAAGCCGUGCCUUAAGUUAGCUAACAAUACAAACCCGAUACAAUGCAGAGGAAACAGAAUACCCCAGCCAAGCAAUUUCCAUGUCAAACAUCAUCUGCGCGGCAGCUCGGUCUGUGAACGUGAGUGGUCGCCUGAAUCCCUGCUCCGCGGCCGCCACCUCCUCAUACCUCCACACCGCGCACCCCGGCCGGCGUCCCGCUCACCACCGGUGGCCGAGGCUCUUCCCCCUCGCCCAGGCUUGAGCUGGAAGUGAUUCCUAUUGGCCAAGGUGUCCAUGUAAAUAGGUGUGAAAGAAACCAGAGCUGGCCAGGCUCUCCCCUCUCGCUCAGUCCCCUCCCUCUGCAGCCCCCGCUCCCCCUCCUCUUCCUCCUCCUCCCAAGGCGAUUGUCAUAUGAUAGCUAAGAAGUGGCACAUUAAUGAAGCGCCGCUACAGGGGUCUUUUCUGCUCCUGUCACCGCUUAAAACUAUCAGAUGGUUCGAGGGAGGACAUGGAGGCAGCCACCUAGCUCAGCGGAGCCGCGGAGCCCACAGCAGCGCCCUCCGGAGCCCCGAGGCCGCCGCUGCUGCCGUCUGCGCCCGGACUCCGCAGCCGAGCGCGGCCGCCCGGGGAUCUCACGGCCAGGAGCGCGGCGGACUGGUCGGCUCCCGGCGCUGCGGGGCUGAGCUGGGAGGCUCAAGACGAGCGGAGCCCCGGCGAGACCGGACGCGGCAACGCGCACUGGGAGGGACCCGAGGGUGCCGUGCCAUCCCGGAUGCGGACGCACAACUUGGAGCAACUUUAAGAUCCUAGCCGCCGCCGGCCCGCGCGGACCCAGAGCG
rnacentral:lncRNA from 1 species